AUAACGUCAAGCAACCGAAACUUCUAACUCAUGAACAAAAUAAACAGCUGUAACAACUAUGAACAUGUAAGCAACAAAGCGUACCCGCCCAACCACGAGACGAUCACCUACUCGUCUCCCACUUUUUGGCCACUAAAUGGCCUACAUUAGCCCGUGUCGACCAUCAUGCCCACUCUCCCCAACAAUAUUACUUUAGCCGGACAUACUUUCUUUCAAUAUCUAUUUAGAAUCUCAUGCAAGUGGAUAUUUCGUUAACUUCAAAGGUGCGUAUAAUGGUUUGUGUAUUCUUAUAAUUAUUGGCAUUAAUAUUUCUUUUACUUCUUUCUUAUUUGCACGAUGUCUCCGUUCAGAUGAAUUAGUAUUCAUGCACGUGAACAUUUCUUCCCCGGUGCGUAUUAAUGUUGCAUAUAUUUAUACUUAUGGACAAAGUGUAUUAAUUCCUAAAUAUUUCUCUUAUCUUCUAGAAUUCAUUUUUUAUUUUAACAGUACUAAAUAAAACAGUCGACGAAAUACUACAAAGAUAUUGCUAGUCGCCGCAAAAGAAACAAGCACGGAGACGAUUUACAGGCAAUCGUUACACCGAUUUAGGAACAAUGUGCCUACUUAACUUCUUAAAACUGGGUAUGUCACGAUAAUCAGUCGUGCAACACAUAGGUGAUAUAGAUCUGUAUUAAAUCGCUGAAUUCUACCUUACCCUAUCUAAAGAGCUCUCUGGGGGUGGUAAGGGGCGAUAUAAAUGGGUAAUUCCAAUUAGGUAAGUAUGUGAGCACAGUUCGCGCAAGUGUCAAUUUUAAAUUUUUAUAUUUUACAGGUGCACAUGCAUCACCUUUGGAGUUUCCCUCACCGUUCGCACUCUAAAGUGAAGCUCGGCGUAAGUGCUUAUGUAUGUAUGGAUAUAAUUUAUAAAUACAAAAAAAAAAAAAUAAUUUUAAUGACAAAAAAAAAUCAGCUCCUUUUCAGGGAGUACGAUCAGGAGUCUCCAUCAUUUCUCUGCCAAGGGCUCGAACUAGGAUGGGUACAAUGGAACGGACUCACUCGGAGAAUGUGGGCGUGGUCUCGCCUGUGGCCGCUUCUUCGUUGCUGAUGCCCGGUCGUUGGAGGCUCGUCUCGUCGCAUUCAGGAUUGCGCCGACGCUUGGCUGCGUCCGGCGUCGCGGAUAUGGCUGGUGUGCGCCGCUGAGCCGAAUCCAGGCCGUUGGUAUGUUUCGUGGGCUUCUCUGGUGCGGGAGCUGGUCUUUUUGUUGCCGGAGCCGUUAAUUUUUAUUUGUUUAUUGGUUCGUCUCGUCGCACUUAAGUUUUAAGUUUUUCUUUUUUUUAUAUUUUGUGACUCGAGCGGUUUAAUUUACGUAUAUUUAUUAAAUUGCAGAACAAACAAAACCAAAAUUUGCAUUUUUCUGUUAGGUUAUUUAUUAUGACGUCGAUAUGCAAUAUGCCAAUUUUAUGCUCACUUCGAGUUGGCACGCCCGCCGUUAACAGCUGAUCAAAUCAAACUCCUCGUACAUUUAGGCAGCAACAUCAUCGGUGCCAAAUUUCGGCACACGCAUACAUUGGCGAGGCGGGCACCGUUGCUGCCCAUCUACACAGUUGCAUUUUUUUGGGUCAACGGCCCAAAUGACGGCCAAGGGCAUAUCCAAGGGCUUCGCCGUGGGCCCAGCUUCACCCCGCAUACUCUGACCAUAUGACAAAACAAUAUUGGCGUGGCCGAUAAUAUCGCACGCAACCAACUAAGUGCUGCCGAUAACAUCAAAUGCAACAAGGAACACCUAAUUAUAAUACCCAGAACAUAAAAGAGACAAGAAUAAAUAAUCUUAAUAAAAACCAAAAGGAUUUGGAAAAAAAAUACUACGUUCAGGAAAGCAGCCAUAAUUCACGGUAAUAGCCUGUGUCCACUGAACACAUUUCUUACACAUUUCUGAAAAUGUUACAUUUUUGCGAAAUGUGUGAAAUGCGCCCUGUG